GACGAACGCUGGCGGCGCGCUUAACACAUGCAAAUCGAGCGAUGAAAUUUCGACAGAUCCCUUCGGGGUGAAGAUGAAAUGGAUUAGCGGCGGACGGGUGAGUAGCACGUGAGUAACCUGCCUUUGACAUUGGGAUAGCCUCGGGAAACUGGGAUUAAUACCAAAUGACACUAACUGAUCACAUGAUCAAUUAGUCAAAGAAAUUCGGUCAAAGAUGGACUCGCGGCUGAUUAGCUAGUUGGUGAGGUAACGGCCCACCAAGGCGACGAUCAGUAGCCGGCCUGAGAGGGUGAUCGGCCACAUUGGAACUGAGACACGGUCCAAACUCCUACGGGAGGCAGCAGUGGGGAAUAUUGCACAAUGGGGGAAACCCUGAUGCAGCGACGCCGCGUGAGCGAAGAAGGCCUUCGGGUCGUAAAGCUCUUUUAUGAGGGAAGAUAAUGACGGUACCUCAAGAAAAAGCCCCGGCUAACUACGUG
rnacentral:rRNA from 1 species